rnacentral:rRNA from 1 species
CCUACGGGUGACAGCAGUAGGGAAUAUUGCUCAAUGGCGGAAACUCUGAACCAGCAACGCCGCGUGGAGGAUGAAGGUUUUCGGAUUGUAAACUUCUUUUUUUAGAGAAGAAAAUGACGGUAUCUAACGAAUAAUCAGCGGCUAACACCGGGCCAGCAGCCGCGGUAAUACGGCGGGUGCAGGCGUUAUUCGGAGUGAUUGGGCGUAAUGGGCGCGUAGGCGGGAUAGCAAGUCAGAUGUGAAAUCCUAGGGCUUAACCAUAGAACUGCAUUUGAAACUGUUAUUCUAGAGUAGGGGAGAGGUAGGUGGAAUUCUUGGUGUAGGGGUAAAAUGCGUAGAGAUCAAGAGGAAUACUCAUUGCGAAGGCGGCCUGCUAGAACAUAACUGACGCUGAUGCGCGAAAGCGUGGGGAGCAAACAGGAUUAGAUACCCCAGUAGUC